rnacentral:rRNA from 2 species
GGGAAAAGGAACUAAAUAGGAUUCCCUCAGUAAUGGCGAAUGAACAGGGAUGAGCUCAGGCUGGAAACCGAUACAUCUGUGUCGGGCUGUAGCCUGCAGGCAUAGCGCUAUCGGCGGCUCGAGCGCAAGCCUCUUGGAAUAGAGCGUGUGCCCGGGUGAGAAUCCUGCAUUUCGCUCGAUGUCCGCUGUCCACAGUGCUUGUCCUGAGAGUCACGCUCCUCGGAAUUGGAGCGUAAAUCAGGUGGUAAGUUUCAUCCAAAGCUAAAUAGAAGCUCGAGACCAAUAGCAAACAAGUACCAUGAGGGAAAGAUGAAAAGGACUUUGGAAAGAGAGUUAAAAGUGUUUGAAAUUGCUGAGAGCGAAGCGAACGGAGCCACAUGUCGUGCUGAGAUUGCUGUGGGUCUUUGUGAGCCUUGAGCAUGUAAGCGCAAGCUGACUGCUUAUGUGUGAGCAUUUGCCCGCAGUGUUUCUCAGCAUGCGAGUCAUUAGCCACAUUUGUUUGAGGAUGGCCUUCAGCUCACAUGGUACACUUGUUAGUGUUCCUCUGUGCGGUGUGGGACUCAGACAGGUGUGGCUUGUUGACCCAGUGGUUUUUUUCGACCCG